rnacentral:tRNA from 1 species
GCGGAUGUGGUGGAAUGGCAGACACACUAGAUUUAGGUUCUAGCGACGAUGAGUCGUGGGGGUUCAAGUCCCUCCAUCCGUACCA